rnacentral:rRNA from 1 species
GACGAACGCUGGCGGCGUGCUUAACACAUGCAAGUCGAACGGGUCUGCCCUGUUUUUUGCGGGGUGGGUCAGUGGCGAACGGGUGAGUAACACGUGAGUAACCUGCCCCUCACUUCUGGAUAACCGCUUGAAAGGGUGGCUAAUACGGGGUGUUCUGGCUGUGCCGCAUGGUGUGGCUGGGAAAGAUUCACUUUUGUGGUGUUUUGGUGGGGGAUGGGCUCGCGGCCUAUCAGCUUGUUGGUGGGGUGAUGGCCUGCCAAGGCUUUGACGGGUAGCCGGCCUGAGAGGGUGGGCGGUCACACUGGGACUGAGAUACGGCCCAGACUCCUGCGGGGGGCAGCAGGGGGGGGUAUUGCACAAUGGGCGGAAGCCUGAUGCAGCGACGUCGCGUGAGGGAUGGAGGCCUUCGGGUUGUGAACCUCUUUCGCCGGUGAAGAAGGUCCUGCUCUUUGUGGUGGGGUUGACGGUAGCCGGGUUAUGAAGCGCCGGCUAACUACGUG